AAUCCCGUGAACCAUCGAGUCUUUGAACGCAAGUUGCGCCCGAAGCCUUCGGGCCGAGGGCACGCCUGCCUGGGCGUCACGCAUCGCGUCGCCCCCCGAGGGGCGUGCGGAUACUGGCCUCCCGUGCGCCUCGGCGCGCGGCCGGCCC
rnacentral:rRNA from 1 species